rnacentral:rRNA from 1 species
UCUUAGCUUGCUAAGGCUGAUGGCGACCGGCGCACGGGUGAGUAACACGUAUCCAACCUGCCGUCUACUCUUGGCCAGCCUUCUGAAAGGAAGAUUAAUCCAGGAUGGGAUCAUGAGUUCACAUGUCCGCAUGAUUAAAGGUAUUCCGGUAGACGAUGGGGAUGCGUUCCAUUAGAUAGUAGGCGGGGUAACGGCCCACCAAGCCGACGAUCGGUAGCCGACCUGAGAGGGUGAUCGGCCACAUUGGGACUGAGACACGGCCCAAACUCC